ACAGUUAAAAGUGUUGUGCUCUUAUUUACUAGGCUAGGCCUUAGGGCAACCACUACAAAAAAAGUUAAUUUUAGUGGAAAAUGGUUUGUGGCGGUCUUAGUUAGACCGCCAGUAUUGUUUCGAUUUUUCUUUUUUACAAUUAAUUUGGGUUUUUCUUUCUUUCACGAUGAGCUUCAUCCCUUCACCUCGAACAUUUUCCUCAAUUGAUGAGCUUGUGCUUCUCCUCCUCAGAAUCUUUCUUGGAACCCUAGCUCUUCAAUCUGCUUGUGAUUCUCUUCAAUCCACGACGCGUUCUCCUCCUUUGAGGAUCUUGUGCUUCUCCUCCUCAGAAACUGCCAUGGAACCCUAACUCUUCAAUCCUCUAUGGAAAUCUCUUCAAUCAUCACGCGUUCUCCUCCAUUGACGAGCUUGUGCUUCUCCUCGUCGGAAUCUGCCAUGGAACCCUAGCUCUUCGAUCCGCUAGGUUUUCUCAACCAUUUGACAAAUUCUCGAUCACCACAAGCGACCACAAAAUCUUGAAGCUCACUCACGAUCACCAAUUUCGUUAGGUUUUGCUUCUGUCUUUCAGUUUAAUCCGCGAAUGCACGAGCAUCGCUGCUAGUGUUGUCUUUCUAGCUGAAGCGAAUCUGGGACUGGUAACAGAUGCAAUCAAAUUCAGAACAUGGAAUUGGCACAAAUGCAAGGAUUUAAUCAGCUUAAAGAUUUGAAUAAUUUGAUGGAGUUUUUUCCAAGGGAUUCAAAGAGAAGGUUCAAGGAAUGAGGGCUUGGUAUAAUUUUCAUUAACUACGAGGUAGUCAUCUAUAAGGGUGUUUUGUUCUUCAGCAAUUGUGUUUCUACACUGAUGCACUUUACUACAUUGAGCAAGUCUCCUCUUACCACCCACAUACUCUCCACUAGGACUUAGGACUAGAGAGGCCGAUAAUAAAAUGGCUUUGUAUUUGUAUGUGGCACCAUAGAUGGGGUAUGCUGAUUGUGUUGUUCAUGGAAUUUCAGGUUCUUAUUUUUGUGUCAGCUCUUCUUGUUCAUGGAAUUUCUCAUUGGACCUUUAGCUAUUGAUAAUUUUUCCAUGUUUAAGGUCCUUUGUAGAUUAUGAUAAUGGAACUUUAUGGUGGUAGGGACGCGUGAGAAAGGCUCCACAAUUUCUUUGAGGACAUCACUUCUGCAGGGUAUUCAUGUAAAAUGCAAGCUAGAUUCAUUGAUUGUUAGUUCCCACCUAGAGAGUGCUAAAGUUCUUACACACCUAUACCCCACAUAAGGACAGAAGGGGGCAACUAUGCAAUGCAGCUGUAUUGGCAGGUUUUUUAAUAAUAUUCAGAGAUUUGGAUCCUAUCUAUUCCUCCAAAUUGCUUCAAGCAACCAUCAAGGUAAUAAAAAUGCCUAUUCAUUCUGACUUUCGUUUUCUGUUUUCAUUUCCUAAACAAAAUAUGUUAAUCUUGAUAGCAUAGUGGUGCACUCCUUAAAAUAAAGCGUCUUGCUCGUGAUCCUCAGAGGUUCAUUUGGGCAGUAGGUAUUGCACAAUCACGGUGUAUUAACAUGCAAAUGAGUGUUGGUGCAUUAACUCAAGAUGCAAACAUGCAGAUUCCUUAUGCUGGUAAGCUAAAUUCACCUAAUAGUAUGAUUUUACAUGAUAACUUUGUUGAAUGUGAUAGCAUUGAACUUUCUCAUUAACUUUGUGGAAUGGGACAGAGUUCUGAAGCCUCAUCUUUUGUUCUUCUCAUACUUGCAUUUGAUAGGUUUUGUUUAUGUAUACAUAUAUAGUAGUUUAAUAUUGAUGUAUAGCACAAAGAAAGUGAUAGAGGAAAUAAGAUAUAUAGAAAAGCAAGACCCAUUUUGUGGUGAUUGUGUUUUGUGGUUGUUAAGGUAUUCUUAGCUUUCAAGUUGGGUUAUGACAAUAAUCUAUGAUUGUGCAAAUAACCUCUUUUUGCUGUUUAAUUUGUAAUUAUUCAUUUCCCUUGUCACUCAAUGUUCUUUUUCUCUAUGUUGUGCAACUUUGAUUGGCCCUCAGGUUUUUCUUGGCACUAGAAUCUAUAGUCAUAGGUUCUCUCAAGUACUGCUAACUUAAUACAUUUUUUUCUUUCAUUUUGAUUGGUAAAUCAUUUAGAUAAUGGCACUAGUGGGUAGGAUUUAGAUAAGGUUUUAGUAAUAUGGUUUAGUAGAGAAUUUA